GUUUGAAUUUGUCUCUCUGCAGUGCUAUUUCUUGGGAAAGGAGUCAAUGAGGGUGUUGAGUCAAGGUGACUCUUCCACCAUAUUCUUCGCAUUCUGCAAAGGACUCUGUGAGGGUGCCCUAGCCUCCUUGACCUUUGGGAACCAGUGAACUAUUACAUCUGGAUUUCAUCCCCAUCUUUGAUUUCCACAUUUGGACUAUUUCUACCUUUUGGCUGUUGUUAACGGUGCUGCUAGGAAUAUGUAUGUCAGAUUUUUUUUGACAACUGUGUGCAGGAACAAGAUUUGCUAAAUCCCUUCAUUUUUAUUCAUACAAAUAUCAGCAUUCAGUGAGCAUCAGUUAUCCAGCGUUUAGAGGUAAGGAAAACUCAGGGAGAAUCUUGUGAAUUUCAGUUUAGUGCCAGGCAUAUAUCUCUGGGGAUAUGUUUGCUGCCUCAACUUUAACCCUUGACUACUCUGGUAUGGGACAACACCCUUACAAUGACUAGCAUGUGUAGCUUACCUUUUACUAACCUCAUGUCUAUGGCUGUAAGGUAGGUAGAUGAUAUAAUUUGUGGGAGGGAGUUGUGUUGGAUUCUUCUGAUGGGGCUUCUUUGCCUGUGACAAUCCUUAGAUUAGUGUUGAAGGAGAAGGACAAUUCAUUCCCUCCAGUAGAACCCCUUUAGCCUUACUUGGUUUUUAGUAGUAUCUUGGGGAGCAGACCACUUUUAAUUUGAAGGUGAUUUUUUUUUCACCCAGUAGAUGAAAUCAUGAUAUUACCAUCUACUACAGUUUGUCAUCACACUUGUUUAGUUUGAGGUUAUGUUAUCUAUUGCUAUAUAACAAAAUGCCCUAAAACUUAGUUGUUUAAAUUUUUUAUUAUUAUUUCAUACAGUUUCUGAGGGUCAGGAAUCUCGGAGCCACUUAGUUAAUGGUUCUGGUUUAGGUUCUCUCAAGAUGGUCAUCCCACCUGGGCUAUAAUUUGAAGGCUUGGCUGGGCUGGAGGAUCCAUUCCAAAGCUCACUCAUGUGGCUAUUGGUAAGAAGCCUCAGUUUCUCACAGGCUGUUGUCCAGAAGCCUCAGUUACUUACAAUGUGGGCCUCUCCAUAGAACUGUUUGCAACAUGGCAGUUGACGUCCCCCUAGGUGAAUGAUCCAAGAGAGCACAGAAGCCACACUAUCUUUUUUGACCUAGUCUCAGAAGUAACAUACCAUCA